GUGCAGUUUGGAGGAGUUGAAGUAGAGAAGUGCUGUGGCUGGCUAGAAGACCAAGACCCUAGAGAGAAAAAUGUAUCCCUUACCUCAAGGAGGAGGAGCCUGCGUACUGGAUAACAAAAGGUGGAUGUUCGGAUCCUACCGAUGACUGUACGUUCUGAAAAAAUAGAGGCUUGAAACACACACGAUUCUUACUGCACUCUUCUGAGACCCUUCUUGCCAAGGCCGAGGCAACGACGAGAGCAGAGAAUCGUAGGCCGAGAUUUUUCAAAUGUGCCAAUGACAACCAAGAAACCGAAAUAUAUAGAUCCAUCUAUUUUACACCUUCUUCACAUAUAAGCUCUCUCUUGGUGGAAGUCCUGCUUGAGCAGAUGCAGGAAAUGGAAGGCGAUAAUAGAUCUGUAGCUUAACCAAGCCCACAUGAUUGACUGAGGUACACGCUGUGCUGAAGGGAGAUGUAGGGGACGAAAACCCCCAAAGCAUUUUUUUUUUGUCAAGUUCACAUCAAUUGCGUACAUUUCCAGCUGGAUGAACUUAAAUUAGGAGGGUGACUAUAACCGGCUGACAAGUGAAAGUGAAGCAACCGUUGCCAGUCUUUACUGAUGUAUCACGCAUGCGGUGUUUAUAGGACAGAGACAUCUAAAGUGGUGCGCGAUAUGAAAAAGAAAGGAGGAGGGGGAAGAAACUCGACUGUAGUCAGAAAAGUUGCAAAGGAUGUUAAUUGGAUACCUUCUGUA